rnacentral:rRNA from 1 species
CCUACGGGAUGCUGCAGUGGGGAAUAUUGGACAAUGGGCGAAAGCCUGAUCCAGCCAUGCCGCGUGUGUGAAGAAGGCCUUCGGGUUGUAAAGCACUUUCAGUGGGGAAGAAAGCCUUGGGGCUAAUACCCUCGAGGAAGGACAUCACCCACAGAAGAAGCACCGGCUAACUCCGUGCCAGCAGCCGCGGUAAUACGGAGGGUGCGAGCGUUAAUCGGAAUUACUGGGCGUAAAGCGCGCGUAGGCGGUCUGAUAAGCCGGUUGUGAAAGCCCCGGGCUCAACCUGGGAACGGCAUCCGGAACUGUCAGGCUAGAGUGCAGGAGAGGAAGGUAGAAUUCCCGGUGUAGCGGUGAAAUGCGUAGAGAUCGGGAGGAAUACCAGUGGCGAAGACGGCCUUCUGGACUGACACUGACGCUGAGGUGCGAAAGCGUGGGUAGCAAACAGGAUUAGAUACCCCAGUAGUC